rnacentral:rRNA from 1 species
GAUGAACGCUGGCGGCGUGCUUAACACAUGCAAGUCAAGGGGGCCCAGCAAUGGGCAACCGGCGAACGGGUGCGUAACACGUGAGCAACCUACCGAAUUGUGGGGAUAGCCGGCCCAACGGCCGGGUAAUACCGCAUACGAUCGAGACCAGGCAUUUGGACUCGAUGAAAUCUACGGAGCAAUUCGAGGGGCUCGCGGCCUAUCAGCUAGUUGGUGAGGUAACGGCUCACCAAGGCGACGACGGGUAGCUGGUCUGAGAGGAUGGCCAGCCACAUUGGGACUGAGAUACGGCCCAGACUCCUACGGGAGGCAGCAGUGGGAAUCUUGCGCAAUGGCCUAACGGCUGACGCAGCGACGCCGCGUGAGGGAUGACGCUUUUUCGGAGUGUAAACCUC